UCGAAGGCCAGAACAGGGCAAGGCCCCUGUUUCUUUGCUGCGCCCCUCCUCCGCUGCUACCAUUAGAGUAGCUCCACUACCAGGCCAGCUGAGUUGCUCCGGCCAUUCACUCACCAUCAUCAACCUUCUUCUAUCCCUCCCCUUCCUCUGUCCAAUUCUGCUUCCCAGCAUCACCAUCACUCUUGCAGCUACUCUAUCGCCUAACCCACCAGUUGAAGGUGGAGGUGACACAGUGACGACUCCUUCCACUCCGCAUGAUCGUGAGCACCGAGGACGGUGCUACAUCUUAAGUGUGGAGAGGUUGUACAUCUUCAGCAAGUGCAUUUUGGGUGACAAUUUUCAUUUCUGAA